rnacentral:rRNA from 1 species
UAAGGAAUAUUGCUCAAUGGGAGAAAUCCUGAAGCAGCAACGCCGCGUGGAGGAUGAAGGGUCUAUGACUUGUAAACUCCUGUAAAGAAGGAAAAAAUUCCCAUUAGAUGGGAGAUGAUGGUACUUCGGGAGUAAGCCCCGGCUAACUACGUGCCAGCAGCCGCGGUAAUACGUAGGGGGCAAGCGUUAUCCGGAUUUAUUGGGUUUAAAGGGUCCGUAGGCGGACUUAUAAGUCAGUGGUGAAAGCCUGUCGCUUAACGAUAGAACUGCCAUUGAUACUGUAAGUCUUGAGUAUAUUUGAGGUAGCUGGAAUAAGUAGUGUAGCGGUGAAAUGCAUAGAUAAUACUUAGAACACCAAUUGCGAAGGCAGGUUACCAAGAUAUAACUGACGCUGAGGGACGAAAGCGUGGGGAG